AAGAUACUAGUAGAAUAGAAUAAAUACCCUGCCUUGUCAAGGCAGAAUUGUGGGCUAAAAUCCCGCGUAUCUUA
rnacentral:tRNA from 1 species